rnacentral:rRNA from 1 species
GGUAUAUUGGCCAAUGGGCGCAAGCCUGAUCCAGCCAUGCCGCGUGAGUGAUGAAGGCCUUCGGGUUGUAAAGCUCUUUUGGCGGGGACGAUGAUGACGGUACCCGCAGAAUAAGCCCCGGCUAACUUCGUGCCAGCAGCCGCGGUAAGACGAAGGGGGCAAGCGUUGUUCGGAAUUACUGGGCGUAAAGGGCGCGUAGGCGGCCCGAUCAGUCAGGCGUGAAAGCCCUGGGCUUAACCUGGGAGGUGCGCUUGAUACUGUUGGGCUUGAGUGUGGGGGAGGAUGGUGGAAUUCCCAGUGUAGAGGUUAAAUUCGUAGAUAUCCGGAGGAACACCAGUGGCGAAAGCGGCUUCCUGAACUGUAACUGACGCUCAGACGCGAAAGCUAGG